CCUUUCAAAGUAGGAGCAGGCGCGCAAUUACCCAAUCCUGACUCAGGGAGGUAGUGACAAGAAAUAACAAUAAACCGGCUUAUGCCGGUUUAAUUGGAAUGAGUACAAUUUAAACAUCUUAACGAGGAACAAUUGGAGGGCAAGUCUGGUGCCAGCAGCCGCGGUAAUUCCAGCUCCAAUAGCGUAUACUAAAGUUGUUGCAGUUAAAAAGCUCGUAGUUGGAUUUCUGUGGGGACGGAGCGGCCGGCCGCACAUCGCGGUUCGAGCUAGCGCUUUCCCUACAUCCUGCCGCGAACCGUGCUACCAUUAAUUUGGUGGCGCCGGGGAUCGGCUCGAUUACUUUGAGAAAAAUAGAGUGUUCAAAGCAGGCCACAUGCCUUGAAUAAGUUAGCAUGGAAUAAUAACUAAGGACUUCGGUUCUAUUUUGUUGGCGUUCGGGACUGAAGUAAUGAUUGAUAGGGACAGUUGGGGCGGUCUGUAUUCCAAAGCGAGAGGUGAAAUUCUUAGACCUUCGGAAGACAAACAGCUGCGAAAGCGUUCCGCAAGGAUGUUCCCUUUGAUCAAGAACGAAAGUUGGGGGAUCGAAGACGAUCAGAUACCGUCGUAGUCUCAACUAUAAACUAUACCAGCUAGGGAUCGGCCAACGUUAUUUUAUACCGACUUGGUCGGCACCUUAUGAGAAAUCAAAGCAUCUGGGUUCCGGGGGGAGUAUGGUCGCAAGGCUGAAACUUAAAGGAAUUGACGGAAGGGCACCACCAGCCGUGGAGCCUGUGGCUUAAUUUGACUCAACACGGGAAAACUUACCAGGUCCAGACAUAGUAAGGAUUGACAGAUUGAUAGCUCUUUCUUGAUUCUGUGGGUGGUGGUGCAUGGCCGUUCUUAGUUGGUGGAGUGAUUUGUCUGGUUAAUUCCGUUAACGAACGAGACCCCAGCCUGCUAAAUAGCGCGCGUGAGCUUUGCUCGCGGCGAGCUUCUUAGAGGGACUAUGAUGCGCGAUAGCACAUGGAAGUUUGGGGCAAUAACAGGUCUGUGAUGCCCUUAGAUGUUCUGGGCCGCACACGGGCUACACUGGCGCCUGCAACGAGCAUAUCAGCUGGCCCGAGAGGGUCUUGGCUAAUCUUUUGAACCGGCGCCGUGCUUGGGAUUGACCUUUGCAAUUGUUGGCCAUGCAACGAGGAAUGCCUUGUAAACGCGAGUCAUCAGCUCGCAUUGAAUACGUCCCUGCCCUUUGUACACACCGCCCGUCGCUCCUACCGAUGAAUGUUCCGAUGAAAUUUUCGGAGAGCACCUGUGAACUUGGCUCUGCCUUGCGAACGGGAGGCUCAAAGUCACUUAAUUCUAAACUUU
rnacentral:rRNA from 1 species